rnacentral:rRNA from 1 species
UACGUAGGGAGCAAGCGUUGUCCGGAAUCACUGGGCGUAAAGGGUGCGUAGGCGGGUCUUUAAGUCAGGGGUGAAAUCCUGGAGCUCAACUCCAGAACUGCCUUUGAUACUGAAGAUCUUGAGUUCGGGAGAGGUGAGUGGAACUGCGAGUGUAGAGGUGAAAUUCGUAGAUAUUCGCAAGAACACCAGUGGCGAAGGCGGCUCACUGGCCCGAUACUGACGCUGAGGCACGAAAGCGUGGGGAGCAAACAGG